rnacentral:rRNA from 1 species
AUUGAACGCUGGCGGCAGGCCUAACACAUGCAAGUCGAGCGGAUGAAGGGAGCUUGCUCCUGGAUUCAGCGGCGGACGGGUGAGUAAUGCCUAGGAAUCUGCCUGGUAGUGGGGGAUAACGUCCGGAAACGGGCGCUAAUACCGCAUACGUCCUGAGGGAGGAAGUGGGGGAUCUUCGGACCUCACGCUAUCAGAUGAGCCUAGGUCGGAUUAGCUAGUUGGUGGGGUAAAGGCCUACCAAGGCGACGAUCCGUAACUGGUCUGAGAGGAUGAUCAGUCACACUGGAACUGAGACACGGUCCAGACUCCUACGGGAGGCAGCAGUGGGGAAUAUUGGACAAUGGGCGAAAGCCUGAUCCAGCCAUGCCGCGUGUGUGAAGAAGGUCUUCGGAUUGUAAAGCACUUUAAGUUGGGAGGAAGGGCAGUAAGUUAAUACCUUGCUGUUUUGACGUUACCAACAGAAUAAGCGCCGGCUAACUUCGUG